AUACGAAGGGUGCAAGCGUUACUCGGAAUUACUGGGCGUAAAGCGUGCGUAGGCGGUUUGUUAAGUCUGACGUGAAAUCCCCGGGCUCAACCUGGGACGUGCGUUGGAAACUGGCGGGGAUCUAGAGUACGGUAGAGGGUGGUGGAAUUCCCGGUGUAGCAGUGAAAUGCGUAGAGAUCGGGAGGAACACUCGUGGCGAAGGCGGCCACCUGGACCAGUACUGACGCUGAGGCACGAAAGCGUGGGGAGC
rnacentral:rRNA from 1 species